rnacentral:lncRNA from 1 species
UGCAAAACUUUUAUUUUUAAAAUUGAGACAAAUAGAGCAAACUAGGAUGAGCUGGUCACCCUGCAAAUGAGACAUGACAACUAAAUGCAAGAGAGGAUCCUGGAUGGCACCAGGAUUUCCAUUAUGCAUAUAAUGGUACACUUCACAGUGUCCCACAGGUCUCUUAAGAUGCUAGAGAAGUAUAGCCAAGAAAGAAAAGAGUAAUGAGACUUAUCUCCAUAUCCUCCCAUCGGUUUCUCAACUAGAUCUGAAAA